UCCGAAGUUUCCCUCAGGAUAGCUGGUGCAAUUAAAUAUUAUAUAAAAUAAUCUUAUCUGGUAAAGCGAAUGAUUAGAGGCAUUAGGGUCGAAACGACCUUAACCUAUUCUCAAACUUUAAAUGGGUAAGAACCUUAUCUUUCUUGAUAUGAAGAUAUAGGUUAUGAUAUAUUGUGCCCAGUGGGCCACUUUUGGUAAGCAGAACUGGCGCUGUGGGAUGAACCAAACGUAAUGUUAAGGCGCCAAAAUUAAUAACUCAUACUGAUACCAUGAAAGGCGUUGCUUGCUUAAAACAGCAGGACGGUGGACAUGGAAGUCGUAAUCCGCUAAGGAGUGUGUAACAACUCACCUGCCGAAGCAACUAGCCCUUAAAAUGGAUGGCGCUCAAGUUAUAUGCCUAUACAUUACCGCUAAAGUAAAUAAUUUAUUUUAAAUAUUUUAUAUAUAAUAUAAAUUUGAAAACCUUUAUUGAAGUAGGAGGGUACAAUGGUGUGCGUAGAAGUGUUUGGCGUAAGCCUGCCAUGGACCCGCCAUUGGUACAGAUCUUGGUGGUAGUAGCAAAUAAUCGAAUGAGACCUUGGAGGACUGAAGUGGAGAAGGUUUUCGUGUGAACAGUGGUUGAUCACGAGUUAGUCGGUCCUAAGUUCAAGGCGAAAGCCGAAAAAAUGAGCAAGUUUAAAUUGUAUAUCAUUGUAUAUAUCUUGUAAAUUUUUUGAACGAAAGGGAAUACGGUUCCAAUUCCGUAACCUGUUGAGUAUACGUUUUUAAUUAAAAAUGGGCAUAAUGCUCAUCCUGGUAACAGAAACCACCAUAAAGAAGCCGUCGAGAGAUAUCUAAAGAGUUUUCUUUUCUGUUUUAUAGUCGUAUUACCAUGGAAGUCUUUCGAAGAGAGAUAUGGUAAAUGGACUAGAAGAGCAUGGCAUUUACUGCUGUGUAGAUAUUUUCUCCUCGGACCUUGAAAAUUUAUGGUAGGGUUACGUAAACUUCUCAACAGGCCGUACCGAUAUCCGCAGCUGGUCUCCAAGGUGAAGAGUCUCUAGUCGAUAGAAUAAUGUAGGUAAGGGAAGUCGGCAAAUUACAUCCGUAACUUCGGGAUAAGGAUUGGCUCUGAAGAUUGAGAUAGUCGGGCUUGAUUGGGAAGCAAUAUUAUGGUUUAUGUACUCGUUCUGGGUAAAUUAGAAUGAAGUCAAUGUGUUAAAAACAUUGAAUUAAUUCGUUCCCCGGAUAGUAGUUUACGUAACCAAUUGCGGAACUUUCUUGCUAAUAAUAUGUUGGAAAUUUUUAUUAAAGAAAAUUUUUACAUAUUUCUAACGGCUAUCAAUUAACAAUCAAUUCAGAACUGGCACGGACUUGGGGAAUCCGACUGUCUAAUUAAAACAAAGCAUUGUGAUGGCCCUAACGGGUGAUGACACAAUGUGAUUUCUGCCCAGUGCUCCGAAUGUCAAAGUGAAGAAAUUCAAGUAAGCGCGGGUAAACGGCGGGAGUAACUAUGACUCUCUUAAGGUAGCCAAAUGCCUCGUCAUCUAAUUAGUGACGCGCAUGAAUGGAUUAACGAGAUUCCUACUGUCCCUAUCUACUAUCCAGCGAACCACAGCCAAGGGACGGGCUUGGAAUAAUAGCGGGGAAAGAAGACCUGUUGAGCUUGACUCUAGUCUGGCAGUGUAAGGAGACAUAAGAGGUGUAGCAUAAGUGGGAGAUAAUUGGUUUAUUCCUUUUAUCAACAAUGAAAUACCACUACUCUUAUUGUUUCCUUACUUACUUGAUAAAAUGGAACAUGUAUUAUUUACUUAGCCAUUAUAUGGAUAUAUUUAUAUAUUUUAUGGUAUUUUGUUUUAAUACAAGUUUUUUGAUCAAAAUACAAAAAGUUUGUUAUAUACACCAAACAAAUUUUAAUGAAUUUUUUUAUAUAUAUAACACAAUAUAUUUAAAAUAGUAAUUAAAUUUGGUAUAACUCUUACACUGAGGUAUGAUCCAAUUCAAGGACAUUGCCAGGUGGGGAGUUUGACUGGGGCGGUACAUCUCUCAAAUAAUAACGGAGGUGUCCCAAGGCCAGCUCAGUGCGGACAGAAACCACACAUAGAGCAAAAGGGCAAAUGCUGACUUGAUCUCGGUAUUCAGUACAUACAGAGACAGCAAAAGCUCGGCUAUCG
rnacentral:rRNA from 1 species